rnacentral:rRNA from 1 species
AUGACCUCGAGUUCUCGGACGAUCUCUGACAUGGAAGGCCUUGCGUCGGUCUCAUCCUGGCAGCACUUGGUUGCUAGCAAGAGGAACCUAUUGAUGCAGUCUGGAGGACACAGGCCCAUCCGGCUGUCGACGAUUUCAGAAAUAUUGCCUGAUUGGUACGCUUUGUUUACCUAUAACAUGCACAAAAUUAGUUACUUUACUGAACUGUUUGCGUUCCACUUAAAUUCAUGUGUGCUGAAUGAUGUUGUCACUUUCUCUAAAGCAAGUUCAAAAGAACAUGUUGAGCCACUGCCUGGUGCCCGCUGA